UUUCAAUUUUGUAUAUUUCAUUGAUUGUCAUUGUUUUGUCUUAUAUAGGAACAACUAUGUACCAUGCUAGAACUAGAUGCCUACAGGGUUGCAAGGCUAUUAUCGAAGAAUGUAGAAAAGGUUGUGACGACGCAUGUAACUCAAUGUUUAGACGUAAAAGGCCUAACCAAAUAACAAGCAGAGCAACGGACAUAGAUUUAACAUUAAAGCUUUAAACAAUUGAGAACAUUAAUGAAAUAUAAAAAAAACUGUACGAUAAUAGAUAUUUAAAUAUAGU